AGGACGAACGCUGGCGGCGUGCUUAACACAUGCAAGUCGAGCGGAAAGGCCCUUCGGGGUACUCGAGCGGCGAACGGGUGAGUAACACGUGAGCAACCUGCCCUUAGCUUCGGGAUAGCUCCGGGAAACCGGAUUAAUACCGGAUAUGACUAUGGCCGACAUCAGCCAUGGUGGAAAGUUUUUCGGCUAGGGAUGGACUCGCGGCCUAUCAGCUAGUUGGUGAGGUAACGGCUCACCAAGGCGACGACGGGUA
rnacentral:rRNA from 1 species